CUUAAAUAUUUGUCCUGUAGAGACAAACACAGUCACUAUCAGAAAAAGCAGACUAGGAAAUGAGGGAGGUGCUCUCACAAGAGUGACAGUGCAAGAGACUGCUCAGAGUCACUUUACUCUGCCUUCGCCUCUUCUCUGCAGAACAUCCACCAUGUUUCUCCUUUGCUGGAUAUCAGUUUUAUUAUCGAUAGGAAAUUCCUUUGCAAAUACAAUACAACCAUUAUCCUCUGAAAAGCAUGUUGUCAGAGGUGAAAAAGUGAUUCUUUCCUGCGACUACAGUGGUGAUGUUAACAGUCUGCAGUGGUAUCGUCAAUAUCCUGGAUCUCGACCAGAGUAUCUCAUUCUCGUCACAGAAUAUUCAGAAACUGAUCUUUCACUUCGUCUGUCAGCAAAAGCUUCAAAAGACCUAAAACAAGUGAAUCUGACAAUCUCCUCUGCUGAAGAAACAGAUUCAGCUCUGUAUUACUGCGCCCUGAGGCCCACAGUGACAGGAAACACAUGAACACUGUACAAAAACCAUUUGUAUACAUAUAAUAAUUCUGAAUUUACAUGUAUUUUAAAGCCUUAACAAUGAAAACUUGAUGAUACACUAAAUAAAAUACUAAAUUAAAUUUCACAAGUGUAAACAUUUGUCCAAUGUCUUUCAACCAAUCAAUCAGCUGCAACAAAAUAAAACAAAGCACACUAUUAUCUUCACAUUAAAGAAAGAGUGACAUACAAAUAUGCCUCAACAUGUCUUCCUUUGUGAAAAAGAAGUGUGCUAAUGACAAUGGGUCUUAACAUUCUUAAGUGCACUUUAUAAAAAUGCACUUUAUGAUAAUGACUAAUUAAGUAUUACUUAAACAUACAUUUCACAUAAUUAUGAUUUUAUUUUAUUUAAAAUAAGUACACUUAUUUUUAUAUGUUUAUCAAUAUACUAAAGUACAUGUAAAAUAAUUGAUUUUAAUUUAAACUUUUGUGUGUUCUACAAAAUUACAUUUCUUAAUGUAUUUUAAAUGUAUUACUAUUUAGUCUAUAAUAUAAAGUGUACUAUGUGCAUUAAUGCAAUUAAUAAAAAUAAACUUCAAUACAUCACCAGCUCCUGCUCUAUGAAUUCUAUAAAUAAAAUUUUCUACAUAAUAUUUCAUCGAUUCAUUCAUUUCCAGGUCUAAAUUACAUAAUAAUUCCUAGAUUUUCAGACUUUUGAUUUUCUGACCUCAAUGUAUCCUGAAGCUAAACAUUUAUAGCAGUCUUUCAGUUUGACUCACAGGAGGAUGCUCUUCUGAUCUGAGAAGCUCCUUUAAUGCAGAACAGGAGUAAACACUAAUCCAGUGUUUAUUUUGUCUCUUUCUAUAUUACUCUAAUAAAUAACAAUAAAGAUUCCUGAUAAGCAACAUUUUUCAGUAGGCUACAGAAAAGUAUUUUAUGUAUGAAUAUGAGCUAUAACGUACAGUACAGUAACACAAAGAUAUUUGUUGUUGCCACAGGGUGGAGCUCUGAAGCCUGAUGUUAAACAGCAGAUCAAGCUAAAUGUGACUGAAUCAAGGUUGAGUUUGACACUUCAAGCUUUCAGACUACUGAGCAGUGACCAUGUUUACUGUUGUCUUCAUUGUAGUUUCACUGCUUAAGGGUAAGUAAUAGUUUGAUGUUCACUGUUGCAUUAACAUCAGUACCAGUAUUUAACAGUUAUGGUGAACAAUCAUUAUUUUAAAAGAUUUUCUCUUCUCUUCUUUUACAGACAGUGCUGAUGCAGAUACAAUAGAAUCUCUCUUACCAGAACAGCAUGUUUCAGUUGGACAAAGUGCUGUUAUCUCUUGCAAAUACAGUGGCAUUGGGCCCAGCUUUUAUUGGUACCGCCAAUAUCCAGGAUCCAGACCUGAGUACCUUAUUUUUAAUGCAGAGACUGGAGUUUCUUCCGAACCCUCUUUACGUCUCAAAGCACAGGCUAAAAAAGCGAUCACAGAAGUGGAACUGGAGAUCUCCUCUACUGAAGUCAAAGACUCUGCUGUAUAUUACUGCGCUCUGAAGCCCACAGUGACAGGAAACCCACCUGCUCUCUACAAAAACUUAAUACAUGAACACAUCUUGCAUUACACAAACAUUGUGACACACCAGCUUCAAAUCAACCACAACAGAUCAAUGAUGCAACUGUUCUUACUUUUCCAAAUGUAAAGAAAUAAUGUUUGGUCUUUUGAUUUUAAGAAAAGGACAAGCCAUGAGUGAAGAUGAAGUCUCAGGCAGAGGGUGGAGCGUGUUCACAAAGGUGAAUGUUUGAAAGGCUUAUUCAUUUAGUCAUCACUUUACAAUCACUCUUCAUCAGAAACCAUCAUGUUUCUGUUUUGUUGGAUACCACUGACAUUACUCAUGGGUAAAUAAUUUCAUUUAUGGUUUUAUUCUUGUUUACAAAAAAAUAUUUUCAUCUGUUUGAUUGUAUAUAAGUUGCUUAGUGUUCAUUUAAUUAAUAGUUUCAUCAAGAGUUGCAUUUUGUCCAAACAGGAAAUUCUUUUGCUGUAACAAUACAGCCAUUGUCUUCUGAAAGGAAUAUUUUCAGAGGCGAAAAUGUGACUCUGUCCUGUAACUACAGUGGUCUGGUAUACAAUCUUCAAUGGUAUCGGCAAUAUAUGGGAUCUAGACCAGAGUUGCUGAUACUUGUUAAUGAAAAUUCAGAGGAAUCUGAGCCUUCUCUUCGUCUGUCAGCAAAAGACUCAAAAGAGAAGAAACAAGUGAAUCUUACAAUCUCUUCUGCUGAAUUGUCAGACUCUGCUGUAUAUUACUGCGCUCUGAGGCCCACAGUGACAAGAAACACAAGAACACUGAACAAAAACCCUGAUUUCAGUCAGAUGAUUUUGUACUUCACUGUAAAAACAUUUGUGUGUGUGUGUGUGUGUGUGUGUGUGUGUGUGUGUGUGUGUGUGUUACUGAUUUUAUUCUAUUGUUUAACACUUCAGUGAAUAAUCCAACCAUAUUGUUUCAGAUAUAGAUAAAACUAUAAUAUCAUGUUUGAUUUCAGUUAGAAUAAAAAUGCAGAAUAUAUUCAUCAUAUUCCAGUAUAAGUUGGUAUUUUUAUAUGACUGUAUAUUAUAUUAUUUUAGUUUGUCUCUUUGGUAAGAAAGCUUCAGUAACUUAGUAAGUAAACUCAGUAAAUGUUGUACACUGGUUAAUUUGAUCACAUUUGUCUAUGAACUAAUGCUCAAAUAGAAACAUUGAGAAGCACUUUUAGAGGGAUGCAUUGAUUUGUGACAGUAAGAACCUUCUAACUUGGCAAAAGUCAUCAUCACAGGGUAAAAACACAAAUACUGUCCAAGUCCUCUGUGAGUGAUGAAGGUCUAAAUGUGUUUGUUUUCAUCCAGAAGAGGGCGUUCAUCUCUUUUCUGUAUCCCUCAUAAACACAAUGAGCUCAAGACUCGUCCUGGAAGGUGAAAUCACGCCACAGGGUGGAGCUCCAGACUUAAAUCACAGUGUUUCAGUUAAAAAAGGGUCACAUUUGAUCAUUUCAUUCCAUCAUGCUGCUCUGUGCACUUGUAAUAUUAUCAGUACUUGCAGGUGAGACUUAUUUAUUUCAUUUAAAUCACCAACUCUUUUGAUUUAAAACUGUUAGAAUUACAUUUAUCUGAUUGCAAUAUUGAAUUUAAUUUUCAGGAGUGUCUCUUGGUGAUCUAAUAACGUCUCAUGAUUCUGAAAAACGAGCUCAAGAUGGUAACAGUGUUGCUCUCUACUGUAACUACACUGGUGCUGUGUAUAAUCUACUGUGGUAUCGUCAGUAUCAAAGAUCCAGACCAGAACUCCUUCUCUCCAUGAGUGAAUCUGGAGAUCCAGUUAAAGCCGAUCCAUCAGCGCACUGGUUAUCAGCUAAAGUUGACAAACACAGAAAGCUCAUGGAACUGGAAAUCAGCCCUGCUAAAGUAUCAGACUCUGCACAGUAUUACUGUGCUCUGCAGCCCACAGUGACUGGAAAACCUUUUCUUCUGCACAAAAUCUUUCUGUAUAUGUAUUUGUAUAUUCACUGAUUCUUAACAAGCACAUGUUUCCUACAGUAUGAAUUAUUUCUGACUGCAUAAUUUAUCAGUAACACAAGCAUCUCUUUAGGAUCAAUAACUCAAAUCAAUUGUGAUGUUUCCUGGAAUAUUUGUAUAAUAUAAAUAUAAGUAUAACAUAAAAGAUCAAUAAAAAAGAGAUGAUGACAAAAAUGAAAUAAGAAAAAAGGCACAAAAAAUUUAAGAAAUGUGAACGUUUUCAGAAAAUGUUCAAUAAAGCUUUACAAUAUUCGUAUGCUUUUCUUUAAUAGACCUUGGCAGAAUCGCAGGU
ensembl:lncRNA